GGAGCGAGGGGACGCAGGGGAGAAGGGGACGCCGCGGAGAACUAGGAGACGUGGGGGUGGGUGACUCCUAGGAGGGAUGUGAGAGAAGAGCAGGAAUUUAGGAUCAACUGUGAGUCCUGAGGUGCCAGCCCCCAGGCUGUCAGAAAAGCAGGAAGCCAAAGGCUCCUUGUCUUUCCUCUGGGAGGGAAGUCAGCGGCAAUUACUGAUACCACCUCCAGGUGGACAGACACCAUCAGCCACACGGCAAAGUCACUGUGAGAACUUCAGAACCUGCGUCCAGAGUCUACUGGAAGGCUGCCCCACACCAAGGAAAGACCAGUGUCACUCUAUUUCAAUAAUUUUUUUUGGCCAGGCCAGGUGGCUCACACCUGUAAUCCCAGCACUUUGGGAACGAGACCCUGU